rnacentral:lncRNA from 1 species
GAAGCGUUGGGAGUUCAAAGCCAGCCUCAGCAAUUUAGCCAGGCCCCAAGCAACUUAGUGAGACCUUGUCUCUAAAUAAAGAAUAUAAAAAAGGUCUGAGAUUGUGGCUCAGUGGUUGAGUGCCCCUGCACAAAAGAAAAAAAUAAAAAAGUAGAGUAAGCUAAAUUUUACUGCAUGAUUUCAGACUUGGUUUAAUCUGUCAUUUCCAUACAGAGUAUUGUUUCAUCUUGUUUUCUUCACUGCUUAUUUAGAUGAUCCAGUGUACAAGUGUGAUGUGAUUUUAAAAUCACAUGCGAUUAGAUUUUAAAAAUCUAAGAUAGGAAAUAAGGGCAAUUGGAAAACAGGUUGGGCAUGUUUUUAGAAAGCAGAAUAGAUUUUUAGAGCUAAAACAAGUGGGGAGAUAUAUGCUAAGCAACAGACUGUGGACUUAAAAUCACAGAAGUCUAUAUUCUUUUGGUUAUUAAUUUGCUAAGGCCCUUGAACCAAGAAUACAGAUGGAAAUCUAUGAAAAAUUGACACGUGUACUCAAAUUGAGGCAAUACAUCACCAUAGCCAAGAUAUGGUGCAGUAGCAUAGUCUUAAAUAUUUAACAUAAAGCUCUGCCAUAUAAUUACAUGUGUGGCAUUAUCUUUAAUGGGAGCUGAUUAAUGAGGGUAACAAUAAAGCAAGGAUGAAUAUUAGCUCUUCAGACACUGAUGUUCAGAUAGCCCCUGAAAAGUCAUUUUUCUCAAAGCCCCAUUCCUUAAGGAUUGUGGAAAUGUCAAUUGUUUUUGCAGUUUCCAGUUCAAGAAGCAGUUAUUCAAAAUCCCCAGAGAACUCUUCUCUAACAGACUACAAUAAAACUUAGAAUUAAUGGUGGUGACAUUUUAGACCUAAAUUACUGCCUUCAUGCUUUAAAUAAUUAUCUUGCUAUCCCUAUGCAAGGGACUUGCAAAUUUUUCACUUUAUUUCAGCCUUAUCUGUCAUCUUCACUGCUUGACUAAUCCUUUGUCCCUUACAAAUGAAUACAGGAAGCUGAAUUUCUAAUUUUUUCCCCUCAAAAAUUCUGCUUUUAAACAUUACUUUCAUGGUAAUUUAUCUAAUGUAGAUUUUCAACAUACUCUUCUCAAAGGCCUUCUCAAAGUUGACUGGAUAUUCUGAAUCAUCCUUAGGGUAGUUCCCCAACCCUGUGUACCCUUUUGUUCUUGCUGCCCUUCUCACUCUACUCUAGGUCCUGGGGUUCUGCCUCUCCAAUUAUGUCCUUUAAAGAUCACUAAGGAGGUUCUCUUCAGGAACUUGUUCUCUUUUUUGCAUGGUUCUGGGAUCAAACCCAGAACCUAGAUAAACAUUCUACCAUGGAGCUACACCACCAGCAGUUACUUAUUCUUGAUAAAGUAAGGAUAGAGUUCUGAGAAAGGAAAACCUUUUUUUUUUUUUAAAGUAUAUUUUUUCAGUUGUAUAUGGACACAAUAUCUUUAUUUUAUUUAUUUUUAUGAAGUGCUGUGGAUUGAACCCGAUACCUCACAUAGGAUAGGCAAGUGCUCUAUCACUGAGCCACAACCCUAGUCCCAGGGAAAACUUAAGCAAGACCUUGAAAACCUUGGCCAGACACUGGGAAGUCUGUUACUCUGAGCCUGUCAGCUCCUGAGGACUCCUGUCUUCCACUGCUGUGCAUAAGUGGCAGUGAGGAGAGGCAGCUGCAGUCACUCAAGGAACACCCCAACUUUGCCAGCCAGGUGAGAACACCAAGAAUGAAAGGUGAGCAUUCUUCUGGUGUGCAUGGGAAGUGUCUUUCACAGAAUUUCUCAGUGGCCCCUGGAAUCAAGCUCCCAGUGUUCUCCAGAUCAGGCUCUUCCUUUGAGGCUUCCUAACUAAGCACCAGCCACAAUGGAAUUGACUCUGAAUAAUCCCACUGCCAUGUUUUUAAUUUUGCUUUUUUCUUGCCCUCAAAGUUUACUCCAUGUUGUAAAAACAACUUUAGGAAGUUAAAAAUGUCAAUGUGUUCUAAGGAAAUGGGCUUUUGCUAUGUGGUGGUUGAGAUCAGGUUUCUCUGAGAGCAAUUGGUGGUGUGCUAAAUGUAGAGAAUCCCUCUUUGAGGCUAAAUUCCUCAGUGUAAAUAGUGUUCCAUGUACAAGGAUCCUUUUGUUUGCAAACUCUGGAAUGUUUUUCAGAGAAUGAGAAGGCAUCAGCCUCCUUUCUCUUGGUUACUACCCUGUGUACACACAGAAUAUCAUAUUUUUAGAAAUAUAAAGUUAGAAUAAUGGAUAAAAUUUUACUAAAUCCAAUAAAAUCCACUGACAUCAGAAUGAGCUUGUUUUUAUGCUUUGCAUUUCCACUUCCUAAUUGACCCACUUCCAUUUCCCCAAUUUUCUUUCAAGUCUAGGGCUUAACUCAGUGGAGAAAAAUGGGUUGAAGACUAUUUUCAAAUAAUUCAUUCCCUGCGGUUACUUCCCAGUCUCUUUUCUUGUUCCUAGUUUUAGUUGGUCAUAGCUUUUUAUAAUUUGGAAAUUAAAGUCCUUAAAGACAAAGAGACUAUUUUACUGAUAUGACAGUCAAUUUUUAAAUGAACAAUUGUUGAAGUGCCUAUUAUAAACAAGAAUGGACUGGGCACUUAAUAAAAAUGAAAAACAAGGUCCCCUGACAUUAAGAAUCUCACAAUCUGUUGGAAAGCCAGUUGCACAAACAAAUAACUUAAUUCAUUAAAAUAAGUUGCUUUAAUGAGGUUGCAUAUCAGGAUUGCUGGAACAGUAGGAGAUUGUAGCUUAUAAACAGAGCCAGGGAAUGCAGGGAAGCGUUUCCAGACAACAUAGCUUCUCUGGUAGGAGUAUGAUGGUAUGCAGCAUGGGGAAAUGCUGGGACAGAGGUGGCUGGUGCUUGUAAGCAGAGAGAAUGGCAUGUGCAGAGUCCCCACAGCUCUGGUUGACAGGGUACAUUCUAAAUUAUCACAGUACUCUAGUAUGUUUGAAGAACUGGCUGUGGCACAAAGGUCAUGAAAGGCCUUAUAAACCAUGGGGAGCCACUGAAGAAUUUCAAGCAGAGUAGUGAUGUGACAAGGAAGGGUGGGAGACAGAUAGGAGGACAGCAAGACCGAAGGCAGGAAAGACCAAUGAGGAUGCUUUUAUGGUAUUUAGUUUGGGAGAGAGACAACCAGAGGGCAUUGGGGAAGAGAAUUUAGAGAAGAGAAGUUUAUGAGGCACCCAGGAGCUGGUGACUGAUUAGAUAAGGGGCAAGGAAGAAAGAGGUUUCUGGCUUGGUCAACUUGACAAGAUAGAGAAGACAGAAGGACAGGUUUUAUUAUUUUUAAAGGGGAGGGUUGGGGAAGAGGAAAGAUGAGUUUGGCUUUGAAUGGAGUAAGUUUGAGGUGCUGCUGUUGAGGUGGGACUGUUGAGGAGAAAGAUGACUUCACAAUAAUCUGAAUAAAUAGUUGCAAUGUCAACUUACAUUAAACUAUACUUUAAUGACUCAGAACAUGCAUCAUUUUGUAGAAACUUGGAACUUGGAGGAGAAUUCUGAGCUAGAGAUAUUGUUUUGGGAAUUAUACUCAUGGGUGACAGUAUUAAGUAUGUGUGAGUAGAGGGGGUAAGGAUGAAAAGAGGAGUAAUGGAAGAGUGCCAUCCUGCAGACAUGAUGACAGUUCAACCAGAAAUACUUAAUCUUGCAUCUCCUAAGAAUAAGGACAUUCUCCUUGAUGAUCAUGACAACAUUUUUGCACCAAAGAAAAUCUGAAUUACUUCAAAAUCAUUAUUUGAAUCUUCUCCAUAAUCAAAUUCCCAAAUCUGCUCCUAUAGAUGGUUUUUAAAAAAACCAAGCUCCAAAGUUCACACGUUACAUUAGACCAUCAACUUUCUGUAGUAUCACUCUCUAAUUCACUUCCCCCUCAGUUCUCCAUGACCUUGAGUCCUUAGAUACUGUACUCUAGGGCAGCCUAUAUUCUGGAUCAUAGUUAGAUUUAGGCCAGCUACUUCCAGUAGUUCAUUACUAUGUGAUGUUUGUACCUUUCACUAUGUCACAUAGGAGGACAAACUCUUUUAUAGUUAGAUUUUUGACUAGUAUAUUAU